CACAUUAUUACGUUUAGAUGUAGAGCUUAGGGAUAUAGUUUAGUGGGGACUGUUAGUGUUAGGUUAGAGGUCGGACUCGAUGAUCUUGAGGUCUCUUCCAACCUAGAAAUUCUGUGAUUCUGUGAUUCUGUGAUUAUGAAACUUGUCUUUGGGGCGAAAGGGAUGAAUAUGUUCAGUGGCAUUAUUCCAGCCUUGUACUUGAGAUAGCUUUUCUUCUACUCCCAUUUCAAGCAAGUGCUAUCACAAGCCACAUUUAGGCACAAACAAAGCAACUAAGAAAAUAGAAAUACACAUUAUUUCAGGCCAUGAAAACAGAACAAGAUGCAGAUGGCCUUCUUCGAAAUCUGGCUUUCUUUCAAUGCGUGUCAGCACAGCUAUAUAUCUCUCUGAGCUACUGUGACAAGAACAGAGAAUAGAUGGAUGACUGUUUUACUGCAGGUUUUGAUAGCAAUUUUGAGAGAUUAGGGCUGUUUUGGAAAGACAAGUUUCAGAGUCUUCUUUCUGAAGGUGUUUGAGAUUAGCAAGUAACUUUAGCAACUCUGAUAUCUCCUUCAGAGACAAUAGAGGUUGAAGGAAAAUCAGUCAUAAAAGAGAAUUUAACUAAGUUUCUUAUCCCCAUGUUUGUUUAGGGAGGGCAUUUUCAGAGGACUGGCAGAGCCAACUUCAUAGGAUGCAUUUCAACAAUGAGAAAGGGCUGUGAUCAAAGGGAAUUAAUAUACUCUUGAACAUGAAACAUCUAAACAUCUACACUGACAUAGCAUGUGGCCUCUUGCAGAAAGAAACGGAAUCAGCAGCCAAUAAAGCAGGGAGAAGAGCUGAAGAUCUUACUAAAGACCUUAAACUGAGCAUUAAUGAUUUCUUAAUAGAAAAAGACUGUUAAAGUUCUGGGACAGUGGUCACAUAAUCACCUACCCUGCUUGAAGAUGACUGACAACUACACAAAAAGACCACAACAUUUGAUGACUAUGGAAGGAAUAAGGAAGAGGAACAAAAGAGAGAAAAAGCUGAAAUAGGCUUUGAAAUAUGUUUGUGUUCUAGGGGAAGCAAAUUACUUCCAAAAUAUGGAAAUGAAGACACAGGGGUAAGAUUUCUCUCUUUAAGGAUGUAUCUUGGAGAAACAGUACUUCUGCUUGGGAGCUGGAUCUGAAUCCAGCUCAGUCUCUCUCUUCUUCACCUAUCCUCCCUCCCCCCCUUCCUCCCCAAGAUAUAAAAGCAAGCCGGGUAGGGAUUUGAACUAUGUUCUGUAUAUGAUUGUUAGUGUUUGUUGGUUUUUAUUUGUUUCUCUGUUUCCUUUUAAAUGCAGUUUUAUCUUUUUAAACAAGAACAUCGAGAUUAUGACUUCAUAGUGACAACAACUCUAAACAAAAACUUAUUACACAAAAUAUUUGAGAAGCUUAGCAAGUCAAGACAGCUUUUGUGAUCCCAGUGAUUACAAACCAUUAUCUUCAUCUUGGUUUGGUAGCUGGUUUUACCAGGACCUGGGAACAGUUUUUCUGACAAGCAGUAUUCAUAUCCCUUCGGCCCAUGAGAAGCAGAAACAAGGUACCAAUAGCUGCAGGAAUAAUGCUUAUUGAUGCAUCAUGUUUCUGUCAGGUCCAGAUAGCUGUUGUAGGGUUUCACUUAACUUGAGUUGUUUUUUCCAUGGACACUUAUGUCUGUGUUCUUUUGUAUAACUUCCCUGUGAAUAAGAGAAAAAGACAUCAACUAAUUCACUUAAACUCAAAGGGGCAUGACAAUCAAAUCAUGACAAUUUAACCAUUAAAAAUGUUUGGUUUUGUUCUUCAAGUACAAAGAGAGCCUAGACAGACAUCUAGAGCUAAGCAAAAUUAAUCUCAGCCUUCAGCA
rnacentral:lncRNA from 1 species